rnacentral:rRNA from 1 species
GCAUGUGGUUUAAUUCGAAGCAACGCGAAGAACCUUACCUAAGCUUGACAUCCCAAUGACAUCUCCUUAAUCGGAGAGUUCCCUUCGGGGACAUUGGUGACAGGUGGUGCAUGGUUGUCGUCAGCUCGUGUCGUGAGAUGUUGGGUUAAGUCCCGCAACGAGCGCAACCCUUGUCUUUAGUUGCCAUCAUUAAGUUGGGCACUCUAGAGAGACUGCCAGGGAUAACCUGGAGGAAGGUGGGGAUGACGUCAAA